GACGGAGGAUGCAAGCGUUAUCCGGAAUGAUUGGGCGUAAAGCGUGCGCAGGCGGUUAUGCAAGACAGAUGUGAAAUCCCCGGGCUCAACCUGGGAACUGCAUUUGUGACUGCAUGGCUAGAGUACGGUAGAGGGGGAUGGAAUUCCGCGUGUAGCAGUGAAAUGCGUAGAUAUGCGGAGGAACACCGAUGGCGAAGGCAAUCCCCUGGACCUGUACUGACGCUCAUGCACGAAAGCGUGGGGAGCAAACAGG
rnacentral:rRNA from 1 species